GGGAGGGUACAGCUCAGUGGCCGAGUGUGUGCCUCGCAUGCACGAGGUCCUGGGUUCAAUCCCCAGUCCCUCCA